GAUGAAGAACGCAGUGAAAUGCGAUAAGUAAUGUGAAUUGCAGAAUUCAGUGAAUCAUCGAAUCUUUGAACGCACAUUGCGCCCGCUAGUAUUCUGGCGGGCAUGCCUGUUCGAGCGUCAUUUCAACCCUCAAGCCCCCGGGCUUGGUGUUGGGGAUCGGCGUGCCCUCGCGGCGCGCCGUCCCCUAAAUCUAGUGGCGGUCUCGCUGUAGCUUCCUCUGCGUAGUAGCAACACUCGCACUGGAUCGCAGCGCGGCCACGCCGUUAAACCCCCCACUUCUGAAAGUUUGACCUCGGAUCAGGUAGGAAUACCCGCUGAACUUAAGCAUAUCAGUAAGCGGAGGA
rnacentral:misc_RNA from 1 species